rnacentral:rRNA from 1 species
CGCCAGCAGCCGCGGUAAUACGGAGGAUGCAAGCGUUAUCCGGAAUGAUUGGGCGUAAAGGGUCCGCAGGUGGCAGUGUAAGUCUGCUGUUAAAGAGUCUAGCUCAACUAGAUAAAAGCAGUGGAAACUACACAGCUAGAGUAUGGUCGGGGCAGAAGGAAUUCCUGGUGUAGCGGUGAAAUGCGUAGAUAUCAGGAAGAACACCGGUGGCGAAAGCGUUCUGCUAGGCCGAGACUGACACUGAGGGACGAAAGCUAGGGGAGCGAAUGGGAUUAGAUACCCCAGUAGUCCUAGCCGUAAACGAUGGAUACUAGGCGUGGCUCGUAUCGACCCGAGCCGUGCCGGAGCUAACGCGUUAAGUAUCCCGCCUGGGGAGUACGCAGGCAACUGUGAAACUCAAAGGAAUUGACGGGGGCCCGCACAAGU